rnacentral:lncRNA from 1 species
UAAACACAAGGCAUAACACUCCAGAGCUCUCAUUUUGGUAUAGUUUACAAGGACUGCAUUUAUAUGAUCGAUCAUAUUUGAGGAAAAGAGAAGAAUGUAAUGCUGGCAAUGCUGAUUGCCUCGCAUUUUAGAAAUUGAUUGCAGAACAUUUAUUUCCGCCAAGUCCAGUAAUUCAGCACCAUGCAGAGCUUCUACAAAAUACAUCCUCUGAAAUGUCAGAGACCAGGAGCAACAAAUGCCUUGAGCAAUGUGGCAACUUCUGAAUGGGUCAUUCCAGUUCUAGGUAAGAAAAGAUGAUGAAGAAGAACAAGAAGCAGCAGCAAUGCAGGCACAGCUGGAUCCUAAAUAAUUAUGUUUCUCAAAU